CCUACGGGGGACAGCAGUGAGGAAUAUUGGUCAAUGGCCGAGAGGCUGAACCAGCCAAGUCGCGUGAGGGAAGACGGCCCUACGGGUUGUAAACCUCUUUUGUCGGGGAGCAAAGCGAACCACGUGUGGGUCAUUGAGAGGACCCGAAGAAAAAGCAUCGGCUAACGCCGUGCCAGCAGCCGCGGUAAUACGGAGGAUGCGAGCGUUAUCCGGAUUUCUGGGGUUUAAAGAGUGCGCAGGCGGAGGUGCAAGUCAGCGGUCCAAUUGCGGGGCUCAACCCCGUACUGCCGUUGAAACUGCCUCCCUUGAGUGCGCGAGCCGUAUGCGCAAUGCGUGGUGUAGCGG
rnacentral:rRNA from 1 species